UAUAUAUUGAUAAUGACAGUAUAUAUAUCGUGUCUUGACUAAUUGCGUGCCAGCAGUCGCGGUAAUACGUAAGAGACUAGUGUUAUUCAUCUUAAUUAGGUUUAAAGGGUACCUAGACGGUCAAUAUAGCUUCUAAAAUGUUAGUACUUGACUAGAGUUUUAUGUAAGAGGGCAGUACUUGAGGAGGAGAGAUGAAAUUCUAUGAUACCAAAGGGACUCGGUAAAGGCGAAGGCAGCCUUCUAUGUAAAAACUGACGUUAAAGGACGAAGGCACAGAGCACAAACAGGAUUAGAUACCCAAGUAGUCUUUGCAGUAAAUGAUGAAUGCCAUAGGUUAGAUUAAGAUUUAGUAUUAUAAUUAUAAAUUAAAUAUUAAACAUUAUCUAGUCUAUAAAUGAAAGUGUAAG
rnacentral:rRNA from 1 species